AUGCUUUUAUUUUUUUCAUUUUUAACUAUGAAGUUGUUAUUAUCUGUUUUGUCUCUCCCCCGUUUUUCUGUAAGUCUCAGGUCUUCUGCUUGUUUGCUUUUGCACACACUGAAACCUGUGCUCUGAAGCUGUCAGAAAACAUCCAUGGGAUGUGCCCUUCCCUCUCAGCUGUGCAGGGAUGCUGCAACCCCACAACAACAUGGAGAUGGAGAGGCUUCAGAUGGACAGGUGGGAGCCAGUGAUGGAUGCUCAUCAAAGACACUGAAGAUUUUAAUCAGGGUCCUUUUCCCUGACUGACAGCUAGAACAGCACUUCUGUGACAUUUGGGGAGGAAGAUUUCAGUGCCUCUCCUGUGGAGCCUUCCCAAACAUCAUGACACUGCCCAAAGCAACAGGUAAGAGCAAUUGCCCAGCAGAGAUCUCAGGGGUGUUGGGGGUUCCAGCCCUGCAGGCACCAGUGGUUCAUGUCCCUCAGUGCCUCCACAGGUCACAGUGACUCACCUGUGAAGCCAUCAUAGAAUAAAAUCAUUUUGGUUGGAAAAGAACUCAAAGAUCAUCAAGUCCAAGCAUUAACCCAGCACUGUCAUGGCAAGGUAUGGCCCCCUCAGCUAAGUGCUCCCCACCUUUUCCUUUUGCAGCACAGCUGAUGCCUUGUGAAAGCUGACCAAGAACAGAGACUAGACAGAAUUAAAGAAUAAAGCAGGGAUUUAUUAAAAGGCCUCAAUGGAUCCACCUCGGGGAGCCCAGCCAGGGCUGCACCCAAGAUGAACCAAAAUGGUCCCAAAAUGGACACCUGGUCAUGGGGUCUCUCACUUUUAUAAGUUCUGGGCCGUUUGCAUCUUGGAGUUAAUUGUCCAAUUACAGCUUUAGGUUAUGAACCAAGAAAACCUUCUUGUCUUUCUCUCUUCAGUCCAUGUUGUUUAUGCUCUUGGGUCUGAGAUUUGGAUCAGUUGUCCUUGGUCCCAGCUAGAGAAGGAAUUGUUUUAUCUGCCUGCUCUGUGCACAGAGCUCACCAUCCCCUCAUAUGAAGCCCAGACCCACACACUAAAGCAGCACAGAAUCUGAAAAAUGUAAAAGCUAAACCCUGAGGCCUCACAGCCACAAGGCUGGAGCAUGGGUGGGACAACCCUCCAGUGAGCAUUUGCUGUCUCUUGUACCUUCUCUGGGUGUUCUGAGGGGAGAGCUGCCCUGAUCCUGCCCGGGCUGUGCUGUGCUGGCCUUCAGCAAAGGGCAGGGAUGAGCUCUGACUGUGCAGCACACCAGGGGCAGGACUUGUGGAUGUUCUUUAACCUCGGAGGGUAAAUGAACAUGGUUCCCUGUUGGUCUGCAGGCAGUUGUCAUGUUUGUUUAGAGAAGAGGAGGGACUGUGUGUUGGGCCUGAGCCUCAGCCUGGGUGGUAUCACAGCAUGGGGACACAAGGCCAGGCAGGGCCUCUUAUGAGAAGAGAGCAGAAACCCUGGCUUUUUCCUCCUAGCAGCCAAAGAUGGGUGAAAAAAGCUCUCUAUCAGGAGAUAAGGGGAGAGAGAGGAGCUAUUUAGGCUAGAGGAAAGCACUGACAUACAGAAAGGGUGGGAAUAAAGUAGGAAUUAGAAGCAGGCUUCCAAGAAGUAGGGUAUUCCAGCCUGGGACUGCAUUUCCUGGUGAGGCAGCAGUAACAGGAACUGAAAUUGUUAUUGAGGGCUCAGCUCUUGCAUUCACACAGGGAUUUAUCCCACAGGCACAGCAGGAGGGCCCAGGUCAGUCAUUUGUCCUCGUCCUGUGGUUUGGCAGAGCUCAGGCACCAAGCCAGCCAUCUGCACAGCAGCACCACCCCAGAGACACCUCCCAGAGUGUGGGAGGAACAAACAUCCCAAAGAGAGAACACUAUUUUUGGGCUAUGGCCCUUCCAAGUCCCAGCAAAGCCACGAAAAAUGCUCCAGUUUUGGAGGAAGGCAGGAGGGGCCGUGCCAAGUCAGUGCAACUCCCACACGCAGGACAGCAUGAAGUCAAGGCAUGGCAAAGGCUGAAUGUUCCCAGCCCUGGGCCAGCCCCAAGUUCUGUGAAGCAAUAUUUCAUUUGCAUUCUCAGAAGCAUCCAGAAUCAACCAGCUUGGCUAGCCCAAGCCUGGCUGCAUGCAGUCACAGAAGUGUGGUUUGUUUUAUACAACAGCAUUUCCAUGGACAUUCGGUGUUGCUGGAGUCUGCUCAGGAGAGCAGCAGCAUUGAGGUAAUGUCCUUUUGGGCUGCCUUCAGCUGCUGUGGUUGAGCAGACACUGCUGAGAAACUUUCAGGGCUGAGCCUGCUUUGUGCCUGCACUGCCUGGCUUUUUAAAAACACUUUUCUUUGUUGCUGUAGCCAGGAACUCCAUGCUUUUUCUUUAGUUAAGUAAAUUGUGCUGUUGGCCUUUUAAGCUCACUGUUAAAAGUGAACUUUGCUGAACCUGGCAGGCAUCAAGGUUAUUGCUUUCUCAGCAUGAGUGUUUCUAAACAAAUUGGCAUCAUGGCCACAAAGUUCUGGGCAGCAACCAGCCAAGAUCAGUUUGAGAAUCCCAAAGGUUGGGACAUAUUUCCAUUUCAACAGGUAAGAGCUGGAACACCAUCAGAUCAAAGGCAAGGACUAUUCUCUUCUGGGCUUCAUGGAUCAGUUGGGACCUCUUGAUGGCACAAUGACUCUCAGCUCCCUGGGCAGCCCUGGCUCUGCAGUCAGACCCUGUGGGGGUACAAAGGAUGUUUGGGUACCUAGAGACAGGAUGGGAUCAUGUGUCUGCUGUCUUUGUUUCCUUCUCCUGUGUAAAUUUUCUGUAACCAUGUCAUGUUACACUCACCUGCAUGUUAGACCACUGCCUGGUUGCAUUUGUUAACGUUCAGAGCAGCUUCACACCUGUGUGUGCUGUGCAGUUUGUGUCUCCUGCAGGAGCUGCUCUGAGUGGUUCAACACACUGUUGGCAUCUGCUUGCUGUCACCUGUGUGCCAUGGCCAUGCAAGGAGGGUGCUUGGGGUGGGUGACAUGGCCAAGAGCAGCCUUGGAGGGAGGCUCCAACCCCUUGGAAUAUCAGGCUCUGUGUGUCUGUUUCCUAUGCAUGUUUUCUCCAUUUCUGCAUCAAUUUCAGUGAAGAGUGUUCUGCCACCCUUUGUUUGUUUUUAAAUCACAAUGAUAUCUAGAUAACAUUAAAGGAAGGUGUUCUCUGCUUUGUAAAAAAACCCCUUGAUAUUAGGUACUUUUUUUUUCCCAAAUGAAAAUAAUUCCUGGGAGUCGCUGGUGCUUUGGUGAGGUGAGACCUCCAAGCACACCAAAGGUGUGACAUGCCUUUGUCACCUCCAUUCACAGCUUCCCAGGCAAGGAAACAAAACCCAUCGUUUGUGGAUGAUCGCUGAUGGCCGUGGCUCAAACCCCCUCACUGCAGCUGCAGGAAACUUUCACACCUUCCAUCAAAGGCAAGGCAGAGCAACCUCAUCUGGCAUCUCAGAGACGUCAGAGGUGCUGUGCAGGCUGUCCUUGCUGUCCCAGAGGAGUGCAGGCACCACUGGGGACCAAAGCAGCACUGCCACCAUGCUCAUCCAUCCUCCCAGCCUAAGGAAGCACCCACACUCAGCUCUCCCUGGGCUGAGACCCACUUAAACACUGAGAUUGUUUCCUGGGCAGACCCAUCAAGAAAGGAAAUAUCAAAGCCAUGUUUAAUAUUUUUAAAUAAUUUCCUUUUUUUUUUUUUUUGGUAAUUUGUCUGAUGGUGUGAGACUUGCUGAAAUGACAUUUUAUUUCCUGGAUGUGGCAGUCCCCUGUUGUGUCUGGAUGCAGAUCCACACAGGAGGCAAGCAGCCCAGGAUGGCAGGGACAUGAAUCCUCAAUUUGGGGCUAAGCCUUGUGGUGUGUCAUUUUUCAGCUGGUUGUUUUAUCUCUCUGUGCUCUGGGAAGGGUAUCUUGACACAGACAGUUUGCAGAGCCAUUUCAGCUGUUCAGACAGCUCAGCCACAAUAUGUUGCCUCAAAUUGUUCUGUCAAGCACAUGCAUCAGCUGUAUUUGCUUGCCUUGAAGCUGUGAAAACCAGAGACCCUCCUGAGAAAAUUUAGCUUCUACAUAGAAAUAAAGAGGGUGACAAUGCUCUCAAAUGUACAGAUGCCACACAAGGCAGUGAGCUGCAAACCUGCCAUGGCCUGUGAAGCUCUUUAGAUUUCAGAUUAAAUCAUUAGCUGCUGCAGUCCCAAAGCCUUGGCAUGGAGAAAGCUGCAGCCAGAAGGGCUGUGUUGUCCUUCCAAGACGCCUGCAGUGGCUCAGAGAUGGGUGCUGGAGACCAGUUUGGGCUGACGGGACCUUUCUGUGGGUGCUCAGUGGCAUGAGCGUGGGGGAGGGCAGUGGCAGGGGCUGGUUUUGGCUGGCACAUGCCCUGGGGAACCCAGAUCUGCUCAGAGGAGCAGCACUGGGCCAUGGGCAGGAUGCCACGCGGCACAAGGUGAGGUUACCGCUCGGUCACACCAGAGCUGAAUGAUGGAGCAGAGCUGUGGCACGUCUCUGCUUCUCAGGACAGAAAGAACAAGACUCCUUUUCCUUAUGGUGACAGAGACAUUAUCCCUUCUGUUUCAUUUUCAUGCACUAAAUUCCAAAUUCUGGCGGCACAAUGCUGCACCUGCUUUCCAUGUCCUCUGCAUCCAAGCACAGAUGCUGACACCCAGUGGCCAUGGGAUUUCUAGCACCUGUACGAGAUGGAAAAUUUCAACAGAGAUGCCUCAGCUGGUGAGAUCCAACAUCCUCCUUUUCAUUUCCUCGAGUGCAGGAGGAGUAAGGAGUUCCUGAGACAUUGCAGAAUGGGAGGGAACAUUGCAAGACUGGGAGGGAACACUGGAGCUCAUCUUGUUCAAACCCCUCUCAAGCAGGGUCCCCAAGUGCUCUUUAGUCAGGAUUGUGUCCAGACAGCUUUUGAAUAUCUCCAGAGAAGACUCCACAAGCUCUCAGGGCAGCCUGUUCCAGUGCUCUGUUCCACUCACAGUAAAGAAGUUCCUCCUCAUGUUCAGGUGUCAGUUCCUGUGUUCCUAUGUCAGCCUUGCUUUGUGUCAAGUUACAGGGUUUGAAACACUUGUACUGAGAGGCCACUCAGAAAAAUUAAAAAAAUAUGAGGAUAGAUAUGAGAAAACAGAAUUUUAACUGAUUUUCAAACUAUUCUCUUGCUGGCAGCUUGAAAAUAUACCUCAGUGAGAGAAGAAGGGUGAGUUUUGAGUUCAAAGACCUUGGUAUUCCUCUUCCCUGUUUUGCUAGUUCCCCAAAGCAGCUAGAAUAUGACAGACUAAAAGGAUUUUGCAUUUCCCUGCAGCAUGCACAGGAUCGUGCUUUUGUAUGUGUGACAAGUAUUGACAUUCUCUAGGGAGAAAAAAGCUGUGUAGGAAAAGCUGGGUUUAUUCUUCAACAAAUGGCUCUAAGACUUUAUCAGUCAAAGACAGAAAGAAGACUCUAAACUCAUGGGUAUGCAAAGACAAAGACGUGUCUCACCAAACAUGUGGAGCUUAGUUGGUAACAAUAUGUGGAACCCAGACAUGAGCUGGGAACAAUAAGUGCAGAGCAUGCCAAAGGAGGGAUUUUAAAUUGCUUUACUAAAAAUAUUAAUUAUGAACUACAGCAAAUGAAUUAAAACACUCUCAUGAGACAACUAUGUGAAAGAAAUACUUUGGUGUAAUUCUAUAAGCACAGGAUAAAAAAAAACACUGCUGAAAUUCUAGUGAGGUUCAGGAUGUUAGGAAGGCAAGUGCCAUCUAUUAGGGCUGGAUUUUUGCUAAUGCUGCAGAUGUCACUCCAUGAGAAGGCAGGAGGGAGGUGUUUGCUGCUGCUGCUGCUGCUGCUGCUGCUGCAGUUGCAGUGAGGACCCUCUGCAGGGAUGAGUCUGGGGAGCAGGGAGCCCUGCACUGGGGCCAAGCCCAGUUUUCCUCACCUAAAUGCUCCUGUGAAGCUGCAGCAUACAGAUACCAUAAGUAGAUGUACUUAAUUUAUCACUCUGUUACUAGGCAGGUUUCUAGGCAGGCUUCAGCCUAACUUUUAUAUUCUGUGGUUACUGAAAUAGCUCUGAUCUUUUUUGGGGUGAGAUCUAGCUGUGGAGGUACAACAGCCUUUCCUUUGCUCUCUCUUACUUGCACCCAUACACUUUAAUUCUUCUUCCCUUCUUUAUUUUGGGUAAAACUGGGCUAGAGGCUUUAGCCCAAUGGGUUUAAACCCAUCCAGCAGGUUGGGGCUGCUGCAGUAUUUGCCCCAAUCCAAAUGCCUUGCUCAGCAUUCCCACCUGGUAAAGUAGGUGAGAUUGCACCAGAUGUACCCAGGACAACAGGCUGGGCUUGGCUGCCUGCCCUACUUUUUCCCUUGGGGACAUUCACAAUGCACUCACGUGGUUUUAGUAGAUAUUUUAACAGUUUAAGAGUCUUGCAGAACAUCAGAGGCCUGAUGGCAGUUCUGAAAUCCACACCCAGUGCAUGCUCACAGUUGUUUUUCAAAGUAAAGCUGUCCUAUGGUGGCUGCCCAGGAGACAGGAGAGGCAGAAGUUGUGUCUCAGCAGAAUUAUAGCAACCACGAAACUUCAUUUCUGCUUCAGCCCCUGCAUUGACCUUUUUUUUUCCCUGGUUCUUUCCUCCUUAGGUUGCUCCCCAGAUUACACUGGGCUGUUGCCCAUUUAGCAGUGGAAGCAGCUGAUAGUGAUUGAAUAAUUUUGCAGUUGGAUGUGUAAGACAUCCAACUGCUUGCAUCCAACAACACUUGCUGUGAUGUUUUGUUUCUGAUUGGAUUAGUAUGGCUCUUUACAUAACUGAUUGACACAAACUUGAUUUUCUCUCUGAGCUUCCACUGUUCAUUAGGAAUUCCCACUUUGAAUAAAUGCUCCUUCAAGAAAAUAUAUUUUCAGGGUUGUUCUGAUGAAAUAAAACCACACUAAACCCCAGUGUUUGCCUUGGCUAGUUCUUCAAGCAAAAAAAUCCUAGAAUGGGCUUGGAAAAGAGUAUCUCAUCCAGUGAUGCUUUUUAAAUCAUUUUUUUCUAUCAUCAUCAUUUGGAAUGAUUCCUAAAAAAUCGAUCAGCAAUUUUGUCACCUGACUACAUGGUGUUGAGAAACAUCAGGUAUGAUUCAUUGAAUUCUGGUGCCAAUGUCCAGUUCCUAGAGAAAUUUCCAUGUCACAUUUGCUGGUGUGACCCUCACUUCUCCUCUGAAUCAUCUGUCCUUUGCAGUAGCUCUGGUGAUGCCUCUUUAGAGGAAAAGUUUCCCUCAAGGCCUCUGCAGCUGAGCUUUUCAACAAAUAAGGCGUAUCAGCUGAUGCAAUGGAUAGCUCAGGUAGCUCCUGUUCAGCAUUUAGAUGCUCUCAGCAGGCUGAGUGGGAAAAGGGAACAUCUGGUGAGAGCAAGGUGGGCACAGGGGCUGGAUGCAGGUGUUUGCACAGGUGUAGCAAGGUGUGUAUGGUGUGUGAGCUGCUGCCCUUCAGUGUGUGUGUCCUGCUAACAGAUUUCUGAAGUUCUCAUGAAAGAAAAAACCCAAACAAGCCCACAGAAGAACACAUUAUCUUUAUUCAGUUUCCACUGCCUCUUUUUCUCCUUUGUUCUGUUAUCAGAAACACCUUGCUUCAGAGGCAGUUUAGAUCUCUUCCUGCAGCCAGUUUAAGCCCCUCCAGUUUUCCUGGGCCCGUUAAGGACUGGGAUUGCAACAGCUGCCUCCACAAGUGGCAGCAGGCAGGGAAGACCCAUGUGGGCUGCAGAAAGCUCAGGGCUCCUGGGCUGUCCUUGGGAUGGUUCCAUGAGCAGCCCACCAAACACGAGCAGUGCAGCAGGCACAGGCAGUUAGAAUCCCACAGAUGUGUGCAGUGGCUUUCCUGCUGGGGAUCUGAAAGGGACAAAGGCUGUCAUUCCCAACAUGAGAGAGCCGAGGACAUGCUCCAGCAUCCCUGUCACACAUCCCAGUGGCAAUGCAGGAAGCAUUUGCUUUCCACAGAUUUCUCACUAGCAUCUACAGUUUGUUCAAAUUUCACAAACCAAAACCCUUUGAAGGCAGAUGCACAGCAAAGAUGAAGGGGUGUGAGUUUGGGACUGCAAACAGGUGUCAGUUCAUCUCUGGGGACCACAGAAGGGUCUUUCUAGAGCCAGUUCUCCCUCAUGAGUGAUGCCAUAGAAGGCUUUUGGGAAAAGCUUCCUUCUUGCUUAUGCUACAUAGCCAUCAGGAAAAGAAAAUAGUCAUCAGUACUGGGGCAUCAGUUCUCUCAGACCUGAAGAAAUGAUCAUGAGUAAAACCAGACAAAUUCAUCCACUCUGCUUUCCCCUCGUGCCAUCACUGACAUGAAUGUAAACAGCUGGGACGAGAGUGCCAAAAGAAUGAGGCUUUAGCCCAUUAAAAUGGCACUGCUAUAACACAGCUAGGACAAAUCUCUGCUCUUGAGUGGUUUGGGGCAUGGUAAUAGCUUUAUUUAUGCUGCUGUGGAUGCAAGCAACUGCUGCAUUUAACAGAAGCAGUCUGAGCUCUUAUGAGCAGUAUUUGAGUCUCUGCAGUGAGUUUAUGGGUUGCUGCAGGGGCAUUUCAUAUCAGAAACAGGCACACUCAGGAGGGUUGUUUACUGAAAAUGAACUCUUAUUUGCUGUCCAAUCUUAGAGCAUCUAUUAAUGUUUGGCCCUUAGACAUUUAAUGUGAUGUUUCAGUUACAACUGUACUUAUAAAUAGUUACAGACACCAACAAAAAAGCACAUUGCUUGGACAGGCAACCUUGGUGCUUACCUUUUCUUGCACUGGCCAAUCAACAUAAAUAUUAUGAGGCUAACGGACAAACUCAGGAUGACUGGGAUGAGAAUAAAUAGCUGCUUGUCCUCUUUUCUGGGCAC